AUGUUAUCUAUAAUUUUUUUGUGUGUAUAUCUGGACUCUAACAGACCUCAUUGUUCUUUUUUCAUUAAUUUAAUUUUUUUUUUUUUUGAGACGGAGUUUCGCUCUUGUUACCCAGGCUGGAGUGCAAUGGCACGAUCUCGGCUCACCACAACCUCAGCCUCCUGGGUUCAGGCAAUUCUCCUGCCUCAGCCUCCCGAGUAGCUGGGAUUACAGGCACACGCCACCAUGCCCAGCUAAUUUUUCGUAUUUUAAUAGAGAUGGGGUUUCACCAUGUUGACCAGGAUGGUUUCGAUCUCUCGACCUCGUGAUCCACCCGCCUCGGCCUCCCAAAGUGCUGGGAUUACAGGCUUGAGCCACCGUGCCCGGCCAUGAUGAGUUCUUAAAGAAGGCAUAAGUUGUCUGGUAGUUUGUCUUUCGUGCUCUUCAUUUGGGUUUCCUCAGGGUAAUUUUUAAUUUUGAUCAGCUCCAAUUUAUUGGCUCAUGUAUAUAUCAUGCUUUUAUGUCACAUCUAAGAAUUCUCCUAGCCCAAGAUCCUGGAUAUGUUUAUCUUACUUUUAUUUUUUAGGUUUUAUAGUUUUACAUUUUCUUGGAAGUUUGUGAUCCAUUUUGAAUUAAUUUUUAGGUAAAGUAUGAGGUUAACGUCAACAUCCAUGCUUGCCUACAGAUACUGAAUUGCUCUAGCACCGUUUGUUGAAAAGGCUAUUUUUUUUUAUUGAAUUGCUUUUUCAUUUUGUCAAAAUUCAGUUGAGAAUUUUUGUGUAGGUCCAUUUCUGGGUCCUGCAUUCUGUUCUGUUGAUAAAUGUUUCUGUUCUUCUAUUUUGAUACAGUGUGAUAUUGGAUAUAUCACACACACAAGAAGGCUAAUAGAUAUCUUUCCAAUAUCACACUACAUAGCCCUUAUGUUGUCUUAACCCUGGCAGAGAAGGAUAGUGCCUCCACCUCAUUGGUUUUUCUGGCAGAAGUCCCAAUCAAUUCUCCUUGUUUGCAGUGUCAGGUUCCCCUGGUAUGGUCAGAGGGACUCCCAUUAGACCCAAGGACAGGUAAAUGGGUUGCCUGAGCUGUCUUCAUUUAUUAUUUCGAGUGUCCAGAAAUGCCAUAUCUGAGUGAGCUUCCUCUGGGAGGUGGGAGUGUUCAGGGUGCUCUGGUGCUGUGUCACUUCUUUAGCUCUGGGGUCUCAGGCCAGCUCACUUUCCUCUAGCAUCUUUUAGAGUAAUCCUUUGGAUGUUUCUUCUGCUUUAUAGCUGUGCUUAACAGGGAAGAACAGGGAAAAACGGGCACACUAUUUCGUUCUGACUGAAAGUUACGACACUAUGUAUUUUAAGAAGUUAAUCUAUAUUGCGAUGCAGGCAAAG
rnacentral:lncRNA from 1 species